rnacentral:lncRNA from 1 species
UUGUCUUCACCAUACAGUUAUGCACUGCCAAUAAGCAAAAAGGUCAAGAAAAGCACUAGCUCAGUGGCUGAAUUUUUCUGAAGUGCUUUACAGUAGGGAAAGUGGAGAAACCUCUUAAAGUGCUGUCUUAUUCAAUCCUGGAGCACAGGGAAAGAGUUUUAAUGCAAAACACAGAAAAAAAAGUCUGCAACAUCUCCUGUGAGAGGAGGAAAGAAAGAAUAUUUACAAUUGCAUCUUGAAACACUCAUGAUUUGAGGAAAGGCUGCAACUGGUCUAUUGGCAUAAGGAGAGAACCAGGAAACAGGAGCACCUGUGUUGCAUAGCUUUGAGCAGGUCAAUUAUCCCAUCUCCAGUGAAAUUCCC